rnacentral:rRNA from 1 species
GCAAGUCGAGCGAGAAGAAAUGGAAUGCGGUUUCGGCCAAAUGAAGUUUUGGAAAGCGGCGGACGGGUGAGUAACGCGUGGGCAACCUGCCCCAUACAGAGGGAUAGCCACUGGAAACGGUGAUUAAUACCUCAUACUUCGCACAGGACACAUGUUCUGAGCGACAAAGAUUUAUCGGUAUGGGAUGGGCCCGCGUCUGAUUAGCUUGUUGGUAAGGUAAUGGCUUACCAAGGCGACGAUCAGUAGCUGGUCUGAGAGGAUGAUC